UUCUCAUCUGAAAGACCCGUACUUGGGCAGGAUAUUAAAAAGAAGUUGCAACAAUUUGACUCUUUUUGUUUCGAACACGAGAAGAGAGACAUGAACUGGGAGGCUCAUGAACUAGCUAGGGCCUCUGCUUCUUUAGAUUAUGGUCGCCAUGUGUGGCUGAUCAACCCUCCUGAUUUCCUAUGUAUUGAACGACUUGUUGUGCUUGAUUAAAAGGGAGUGUUUGAUCCUCAAAAAGAAAAACUAUAGAGUAGAGUACACGACCUCGCAUCCUCACAUCCCGAUUCACAGAAACCACCAGCAGCCAAUCUCUCGUUCUCCCACUACUAACCCUAGCCGCCGCCUGUUGCUUGCCUCGAUGCGCGCCGCGCGCCCCAGAACGAGGACCGGCGCCUGAGCGGUGGCCCUGGCCGGUGAAGACCGGCGCCCGAGCGGCAGCCCUGGCAGGUGAAGACGGGCGCCGCGAGCGGCGGCCCUGAGCCCCUGACCGUGAAGAUUGUCGCCCUGCGCCGCCGCCAACCCCAACCUCCCGUCGGUCGCUCCACCGCCUAUGACGCGGCCGUGCGCCGCCGGUGCUCCACCUCCCGAGGACGAGUUCAACCACUACAGUUCGUCACCACUCACCACUACCCGUCCUCUUCCACACGGUUCGUCCGCCACCGAUGCUCCACCUCCCGACGACCUGCCCACUUUCAGUUCUCCACAUCGCAGCUGAAGAUGUUUUCUGAACAUGAUGAGGAACUGAAUGAGAAUGAAGAUGCAUUUAUGAGUGUAGAGGCAGAUGCAGAAGCAGCAGCUGCAGAAGCAGGAGACGAAUCCGUCUUAUGUAGUAUUAUUGACGAUGAAGUUGCCGAACCAACAGUUGUCGAAGGUGCCAAAAUAGAAGCUGCUCAAGAUGACAAGCCAAUUGAAGCUGAAUCAUGAAUCUUCUUACUUUAUGUCAUAUGAAUCUUGUUACUUGCUCUCAAAUGUAAACAUGUACCGGUACUUUGUUACUUGCUGUUGCAUAUAAACAUGUAUUGGUACUUUCUGCUCUCA